rnacentral:rRNA from 1 species
GAUGAACGCUGGCGGCGUGCUUAACACAUGCAAGUCGAACGGAAAGGCCCUGCUCUUGUGCGGUUCUCGAGUGCCGAACGCGUGAGUAUCACGUGAGUAUCCUGCCCUUGUCUUUCGGAGAACAUCACGAAACUGGGGCUAAUAUCGGAUAGGAUCUCCUGCAGCGUGGUGUGCGUUGGAAAGUUUCGGCGGUUGGGGAUGGAAUCGCGGCUUAUCAGCUUGUUGGUGGGGUAGUGGCUUACCAAGUCUUUGACGGGUAGCCGGCCUGAGAGGGUGACCGGCCACAUUGGUACUGAGGGACGGCCCAGACGGGUACGGGAGGCAACAGGGGGGAAUAUUGCACAAUGGGCGCAAGCCUGUUGCAGCAGCGCCGCGUGCGGGAAGACGGGCUUCGGGUUAUAAACCGCUUUCGCCUGAGACGAAGCGUGAGUGACGGUAAUGGGUAAAAAAGCACCGGCUAACUACGUG